UACGUAGGGGGCAAGCGUUGUCCGGAAUCAUUGGGCGUAAAGCGCGUGUAGGCGGUUACGUAAGUCUGCUGUGAAAGUCAGAGGCUCAACCUCCGAAAGCCGGUGGAUACUGCGUGACUAGAGUACGGAAGAGGAGAGUGGAAUUCCUGGUGUAGCGGUGAAAUGCGCAGAUAUCAGGAGGAACACCAACGGCGAAGGCAGCUCUCUGGGACGUUACUGACGCUGAGACGCGAAAGCGUGGGGAGCAAACAGG
rnacentral:rRNA from 1 species